rnacentral:rRNA from 1 species
GAUGAACGCUGGCGGCGUGCCUAAUACAUGCAAGUCGAACGCACAGCGAAAGGUGCUUGCACCUUCCAAGUGAGUGGCGAACGGGGGAGUAACACGUUGACCACCUGCCUCAAGGCUGGGGAUAACAUUUGGAAACAGAUGCUAAUACCGAAUAAAACUCAGUGUCGCAUGACACAAAGUUAAAAGGCGCUUUGGCGUCACCUAAAGAUGGAUCCGCGGUGCAUUAGUUAGUUGGUGGGGUAAAGGCCUACCAAGACAAUGAUGCAUAGCCGAGUUGAGAGACUGAUCGGCCACAUUGGGACUGAGACACGGCCCAAACUCCUACGGGAGGCUGCAGUAGGGAAUCUUCCACAAUGGGCGAAAGCCUGAUGGAGCAACGCCGCGUGUGUGAUGAAGGCUUUCGGGUCGUAAAGCACUGUUGUAUGGGAAGAACAGCUAGAAUAGGGAAUGAUUUUAGUUUGACGGUACCAUACCAGAAAGGGACGGCUAAAUACGUGCCAGCAGCCGCGGUAA